rnacentral:rRNA from 1 species
AUUGAACGCUGGCGGCAGGCCUAACACAUGCAAGUCGGACGGUAGCACAGAGAACUUGCUCUCGGGUGACGAGUGGCGGACGGGUGAGUAAUGUCUGGGGAUCUGCCCGAUAGAGGGGGAUAACCACUGGAAACGGUGGCUAAUACCGCAUAACGUCGCAAGACCAAAGAGGGGGACCUUCGGGCCUCUCACUAUCGGAUGAACCCAGAUGGGAUUAGCUAGCAGGCGGGGUAACGGCCCACCUAGGCGACGAUCCCUAGCUGGUCUGAGAGGAUGACCAGCCACACUGGAACUGAGACACGGUCCAGACUCCUACGGGAGGCAGCAGUGGGGAAUAUUGCACAAUGGGCGCAAGCCUGAUGCAGCCAUGCCGCGUGUAUGAAGAAGGCCUUCGGGUUGUAAAGUACUUUCAGCGGGGAGGAAGGCGAUGUGGUUAAUAACCGUAUCGAUUGACGUUACCCGCAGAAGAAGCACCGGCUAACUCCGUGCCAGCCGCCGCAGUAA